rnacentral:rRNA from 1 species
CCUACGGGAGGCAGCAGUCGAGAAUCAUUCACAAUGGGGGAAACCCUGAUGGUGCGACGCCGCGUGGGGGAAUGAAGGUCUUCGGAUUGUAAACCCCUGUCAUGUGGGAGCAAAUUAAAAAGAUAGUACCACAAGAGGAAGAGACGGCUAACUCUGUGCCAGCAGCCGCGGUAAUACAGAGGUCUCAAGCGGUGUUCGGAAUCACUGGGCGUAAAGCGUGCGUAGGCUGUUUCGUAAGUCGUGUGUGAAAGGCGCGGGCUCAACCCGCGGACGGCACAUGAUACUGCGAGACUAGAGUAGUGGAGAGGGAAGCGGAAUUCUCGGUGUAGCAGUGAAAUGCGUAGAUAUCGAGAGGAACACUCGUGGCGAAGGCGGGUUCCUGGACAUUAACUGACGCUGAGGCACGAAGGCCAGGGGAGCGAAAGGGAUUAGAUACCCCUGUAGUC